rnacentral:lncRNA from 1 species
AAUACUCUGGGGAGCCUUGUGAACCAUGAAAAUAGAUACAUCUGGAAAUCAUUUUAUUAUGUGAAAUAAGCUAGACUCCAAAAAGAUUUGGCACCGUGAGACUGCUAGCUUUUCUCCAAAAUCAAAAUGACCAUGAAAUGUAAAUGUUUUGAAUUGAUUCAGGACAUUGAGGCAACCACAACAGUGCAACUGCAACUACAGGUAUGAAAGAGGAUUUCCCAAAACUACUUUAGAAAGUGUCAAGAACGUGGGAUAACUGCAUUUGAAGUGAGGGGGAGUAUUUUGAUGGGGAUUCAUAGCAAUGUGGACCUUUUCUGUAAUUGUAAAAAUUUAAACAUUCACUGUAGUUUUUGAUGGCACCUCAUAUAUGAAAUCUAAAAAGGG